AGGAUGAUCAGCCACACUGGAACUGAGACACGGUCCAGACUCCUACGGGAGGCAGCAGUGGGGAAUAUUGCACAAUGGGCGCAAGCCUGAUGCAGCCAUGCCGCGUGUAUGAAGAAGGCCUUCGGGUUGUAAAGUACUUUCAGUAGGGAGGAAGGUGGUUAAGUUAAUACCUUAAUCAUUUGACGUUACCUACAGAAGAAGCACCGGCUAACUCCGUGCCAGCAGCCGCGGUAAUACGGAGGGUGCAAGCGUUAAUCGGAAUUACUGGGCGUAAAGCGCAUGCAGGUGGUUUGUUAAGUCAGAUGUGAAAGCCCUGGGCUCAACCUAGGAAUCGCAUUUGAAACUGACAAGCUAGAGUACUGUAGAGGGGGGUAGAAUUUCAGGUGUAGCGGUGAAAU
rnacentral:rRNA from 1 species